UAGGGAAUCUUGCACAAUGGGCGAAAGCCUGAUGCAGCGACGCCGCGUGGGGGAUGAAGGCCUUCGGGUUGUAAACCCCUUUCAGUAGGGACGAAAAUGACGGUACCUACAGAAGAAGCUCCGGCCAACUACGUGCCAGCAGCCGCGGUAACACGUAGGGGGCAAGCGUUGUCCGGAAUUAUUGGGCGUAAAGAGCUCGUAGGUGGUUCAGUAAGUCGGAUGUGAAAGCUCAAGGCUCAACCUUGAGACGCCAUCCGAUACUGCUGUGACUAGAAUUCGGUAGAGGAGUGUGGAAUUCCUGGUGUAGCGGUGAAAUGCGCAGAUAUCAGGAGGAACACCAACAGCGAAGGCAGCACUCUGGGCCGACAUUGACACUGAGGAGCGAAAGCGUGGGGAGCAAACAGGAUUAGAUACCCGUGUAGUCC
rnacentral:rRNA from 1 species